UACAGAGGUCUCAAGCGUUGUUCGGAUUCAUUGAGCGUAAAGGGUGUGUAGGUGGCGCGCUAAGUCGGGUGUGAAAUUUCGGAGCUUAACUCCGAAACUGCAUUCGAUACUGGCGUGCUUGAGGACUGGAGAGGAGACUGGAAUUCAUGGUGUAGCAGUGAAAUGCGUAGAUAUCAAGCGGAACACCAGUGGCGAAGGCGAGUCCCUGAACAACUCCUGACACUGAGGCACGAAAGCUAGGGGAGCAAACAGG
rnacentral:rRNA from 1 species